UGGGGAAUAUUGCACAAUGGGCGCAAGCCUGAUGCAGCCAUGCCGCGUGUGUGAAGAAGGCCUUCGGGUUGUAAAGCACUUUCAGCGGGGAGGAAGGCGAUAAGGUUAAUAACCUCAUCGAUUGACGUUACCCGCAGAAGAAGCACCGGCUAACUCCGUGCCAGCAGCCGCGGUAAUACGGAGGGUGCAAGCGUUAAUCGGAAUUACUGGGCGUAAAGCGCACGCAGGCGGUCUGUCAAGUCGGAUGUGAAAUCCCCGGGCUCAACCUGGGAACUGCAUUCGAAACUGGCGGGCUAGAGUCUUGUAGAGGGGGGUAGAAUUCCAGGUGUAGCGGUGAAAUGCGUAGAGAUCUGGAGGAAUACCGGUGGCGAAGGCGGCCCCCUGGACAAAGACUGACGCUCAGGUGCGAAAGCGUGGGGAGCAAACAGG
rnacentral:rRNA from 1 species